UAGAGUGUGUCAGAGGGGGGGUAGAAUUUCCACGUGUAGCAGUGAAAUGCGUAGAGAUGUGGAGGAAUACCGAUGGCGAAGGCAGCCCCCCUGGGAUAACACUGACGCUCAUGCACGAAAGCGUGGGGAGCAAACAGGAUUAGAUACCCUGGUAGUCCACGCCCUAAACGAUGUCUACUAGUUGUCGGGUCUUAAUUGACUUGGUAACGCAGCUAACGCGUGAAGUAGACCGCCUGGGGAGUACGGUCGCAAGAUUAAAACUCAAAGGAAUUGACGGGGACCCGCACAAGCGGUGGAUGAUGUGGAUUAAUUCGAUGCAACGCGAAAAACCUUACCUACCCUUGACGUGAACAGGAAUCCUUGAGAGAUCAGGGAGUGCUUGAAAGAGAACCAGUACACAGGUGCUGCAUGGCUGUCGUCAGCUCGUG
rnacentral:rRNA from 1 species